rnacentral:rRNA from 1 species
AUUGAACGCUGGCGGCAUGCUUUACACAUGCAAGUCGAACGGUAACAGCACUUCGGUGGCUGACGAGUGGCGGACGGGUGAGUAAUACAUCGGAACGUGCCUAGUAGUGGGGGAUAACUACUCGAAAGAGUAGCUAAUACCGCAUGAGAUCUAAGGAUGAAAGCAGGGGACCUUCGGGCCUUGCGCUACUAGAGCGGCUGAUGGCAGAUUAGGUAGUUGGUGGGAUAAAAGCUUACCAAGCCGACGAUCUGUAGCUGGUCUGAGAGGACGACCAGCCACACUGGGACUGAGACACGGCCCAGACUCCUACGGGAGGCAGCAGUGGGGAAUUUUGGACAAUGGGCGCAAGCCUGAUCCAGCAAUGCCGCGUGCAGGAUGAAGGCCUUCGGGUUGUAAACUGCUUUUGUACGGAAAGAAAAGCCCUCUUCUAAUACAGGAGGGUCAUGACGGUACCGUAAGAAUAAGCACCGGCUAACUACGUG